ACAACACCCAACAGACUGAAAGUGGAAUCAUGCUCGGCAGCCAGUGCCAUGAGGAGGAUCACAGCAGCAGAGCCACCAGAAAGAGUCUAGGAGGAGUCACCGCUUACCACCCUGAUAAAGAGUGUAAGUCUUGGAGGAGUCAUGUGAACAGAUACCUGCUUGCCUCGCCUCUGCCAGCUGAUCACCGAAACGUCGCCUUUCUCAACUGAGACCCCCAUGGCCACCCUCAACGAGAAACCACGACCCCAUCCCAGCCCCCAACAGUCCUACUGCACCCCCUCCCCUGAUGUAUUUUAUUUAUAUAGUUCCGUCUCAUUAGCUUACACCCCCAUCUACCCUAUCCCUUGAUCCCCAAAAAUGUAUUCGGUCUCAGAGUUCAGAGAGUAAAAGGGGGAUAAUAGGAAGGUAUAAUAUAUUAUCCAAACCUAACUGAUUCCUGAG